CCUACGGGUGGCAGCAGUGGGGAAUAUUGCACAAUGGGGGAAACUCUGAUGCAGCGACGCCGCGUGAGUGAAGAAGUAAUUCGUUAUGUAAAGCUCUAUCAGCAGGGAAGAAAAUGACGGUACCUGAGUAAGAAGCCCCGGCUAACUACGUGCCAGCAGCCGCGGUAAUACGUAGGGGGCAAGCGUUAUCCGGAUUUACUGGGUGUAAAGGGAGCGUAGGCGGCAGUGCAAGUCUGGAGUGAAAGGCGGGGGCUCAACCCCCGGACUGCUCUGGAAACUGUACGGCUGGAGUGCAGGAGAGGUAAGUGGAAUUCCUAGUGUAGCGGUGAAAUGCGUAGAUAUAUGGAAGAACACCAGUGGCGAAGGCGGCUGUCUGGUCUGCAACUGACGCUGAGGCUCGAAAGCAUGGGUAGCGAACAGGAUUAGAUACCCGAGUAGUC
rnacentral:rRNA from 1 species